rnacentral:rRNA from 1 species
AUGUUUCCCGUUGUUUAUCGUCUCAUUGAGUUGGCAUUGUUACUCCCGGUAGCGACGGCAACAGUUAAAAGAGUCUUCUCAUCAAUGAAAAUCAUCAAGACUGAGUUGCACAGCAAGAUGUCUGAUGGCUGGCUUAAUGACUUGAUGGUGUGUUACAUUGAGCGAGAGAUCUUCAAAAGUAUUGAUCUUGGUAAAAUUAAGAAAGAUUUUCAUAAGGAGAGUAGGGCACUGCCAUUGCCUGUGUCUAAUUUUUAUUUGUGA